UUGGUACUCCCUCCGUCCGGAAAUACUUUUCAUCAAAAUGGAUAAAAAGAGACGUAUUUAGACGUAUUUUAGUUCUAGAUACAUCCCUUUUUAUUCAUUUUGAUGACAAGUAUUUUCGGACGGAGGGAGUAUCAA
rfam:Triticum aestivum genome assembly, contig: Triticum_aestivum_CS42_TGACv1_scaffold_502016_6BL